GACGAACGCUGGCGGCGUGCUUAACACAUGCAAGUCGAACGAUGAAGCUAGAGCUUGCUCUGGUGGAUUAGUGGCGAACGGGUGAGUAACACGUGAGUAACCUGCCCCGAACUCUGGGAUAACUGCUGGAAACGGUAGCUAAUACCGGAUAUGACCAGUGAAGGCAUAUUCUGUUGGUGGAAAGAAUUUCGGUUCGGGAUGGACUCGCGGCCUAUCAGCUUGUUGGUGAGGUAACGGCUCACCAAGGCGACGACGGGUAGCCGGCCUGAGAGGGUGAUCGGCCACACUGGGACUGAGACACGGCCCAGACUCCUACGGGAGGCAGCAGUGGGGAAUAUUGCACAAUGGGCGCAAGCCUGAUGCAGCAACGCCGCGUGAGGGACGACGGCCUUCGGGUUGUAAACCUCUUUUAGUAGGGAAGAAGCGAAAGUGACGGUACCUGCAGAAAAAGCACCGGCUAACUACGUGCCAGCCGCCGCAGUAA
rnacentral:rRNA from 1 species